UAAUGCCUACGGGAGGCGCAGCAGUAGGGAAUUUUCGUCAAUGGGCGCAAGCCUGAACGAGCAAUGCCGCGUGAACGAGGAAGGUCUUCGGAUCGUAAAGUUCUGUUGAAGGGGAAAAAGAGCGGUGAGAGGAAAUGGUCUCCGAUUGAUAUUACCCUUCGAGGAAGUCACGGCUAACUACGUGCCAGCAGCCGCGGUAAUACGUAGGUGGCGAGCGUUAUCCGGAAUGAUUGGGCGUAAAGGGUGCGUAGGCGGCCUGCUAAGUCUGGAGUGAAAGGUACCGGCUCAACCGGUACAGGCACUGG
rnacentral:rRNA from 1 species